GAUGAUUCAGUCUCCAAACUGACAAGCAGAUUAUUACUACAUUCUGGGGAGAUGAGAGGAGAGACCGUGUUUGGGCAGAGAAGCUAACAGGUGAGUUAGAAGGUGAAGUGAGAGAUAAGAAGGUUAGGAUGGACAGAAUGAAGUAUUCAUUUAAGUCAACACAUGGGAGGUUCCAACAUAGGGUGUUUCAUUUUCCACGUGAGGAGUACCGGUCUAGACAUACCAUAAGCCGUGGGCUGGUGCUAGAGAUGAUAGAUGAAGAACAUGAAGACGUCAUUAGACAGGGUCUUUAGUUUAUUCGUGAUGAACUUUUAGUAUUAGCGUUUAGAACGUUUAGCUAUGAAAUAAAACUUGAUUUUGGUUUUUACCAAGUAUUUUGGUUUAAGUGAUGUAAAUGGCUUAAUGUCGAUGAAAUACAGGGUUUCAAGUAGGGAAAGUUAGAGAUAGAAGCUCUUCUUUCUCUCUAGAAUUCCCC
rnacentral:lncRNA from 1 species